rnacentral:rRNA from 1 species
UACGUAGGUGGCAAGCGUUGUCCGGAUUUAUUGGGUUUAAAGGGUGCGUAGGCGGCUUUGUAGGUCAGUGGUGAAAUAUGGCAGCUCAACUGUCAAGGUGCCAUUGAUACUGCGGAGCUUGAGUACAGAUGAGGUAGGCGGAAUUGACGGUGUAGCGGUGAAAUGCUUAGAUAUCGUCAAGAACACCGAUAGCGAAGGCAGCUUACUGGGCUGUAACUGACGCUGAGGCACGAAAGUGUGGGGAUCAAACAGG